rnacentral:rRNA from 1 species
GCGGGACACGUGGUAUCCUGUCUGAAUAUGGGGGGACCAUCCUCCAAGGCUAAAUACUCCUGACUGACCGAUAGUGAACCAGUACCGUGAGGGAAAGGCGAAAAGAACCCCGGCGAGGGGAGUGAAAAAGAACCUGAAACCGUGUACGUACAAGCAGUGGGAGCCUCUUUUAUGGGGUGACUGCGUACCUUUUGUAUAAUGGGUCAGCGACUUAUAUUCUGUAGCAAGGUUAACCGAAUAGGGGAGCCGAAGGGAAACCGAGUCUUAACUGGGCGUUAAGUUGCAGGGUAUAGACCCGAAACCCGGUGAUCUAGCCAUGGGCAGGUUGAAGGUUGGGUAACACUAACUGGAGGACCGAACCGACUAAUGUUGAAAAAUUAGCGGAUGACUUGUGGCUGGGGGUGAAAGGCCAAUCAAACCGGGAGAUAGCUGGUUCUCCCCGAAAGCUAUUUAGGUAGCGCCUCGUGAACUCAUCUCCGGGGGUAGAGCACUGUUUCGGCAAGGGGGUCAUCCCGACUUACCAACCCGAUGCAAACUGCGAAUACCGGAGAAUGUUAUCACGGGAGACACACGGCGGGUGCUAACGUCCGUCGUGAAGAGGGAAACAACCCAGACCGCCAGCUAAGGUCCCAAAGUCAUGGUUAAGUGGGAAACGAUGUGGGAAGGCCCAGACAGCCAGGAUGUUGGCUUAGAAGCAGCCAUCAUUUAAAGAAAGCGUAAUAGCUCACUGGUCGAGUCGGCCUGCGCGGAAGAUGUAACGGGGCUAAACCAUGCACCGAAGCUGCGGCAGCGACGCUUAUGCGUUGUUGGGUAGGGGAGCGUUCUGUAAGCCUGCGAAGGUGUACUGUGAGGUAUGCUGGAGGUAUCAGAAGUGCGAAUGCUGACAUAAGUAACGAUAAAGCGGGUGAAAAGCCCGCUCGCCGGAAGACCAAGGGUUCCUGUCCAACGUUAAUCGGGGCAGGGUGAGUCGACCCCUAAGGCGAGGCCGAAAGGCGUAGUCGAUGGGAAACAGGUUAAUAUUCCUGUACUUGGUGUUACUGCGAAGGGGGGACGGAGAAGGCUAUGUUGGCCGGGCGACGGUUGUCCCGGUUUAAGCGUGUAGGCUGGUUUUCCAGGCAAAUCCGGAAAAUCAAGGCUGAGGCGUGAUGACGAGGCACUACGGUGCUGAAGCAACAAAUGCCCUGCUUCCAGGAAAAGCCUCUAAGCAUCAGGUAACAUCAAAUCGUACCCCAAACCGACACAGGUGGUCAGGUAGAGAAUACCAAGGCGCUUGAGAGAACUCGGGUGAAGGAACUAGGCAAAAUGGUGCCGUAACUUCGGGAGAAGGCACGCUGAUAUGUAGGUGAAGUCCCUCGCGGAUGGAGCUGAAAUCAGUCGAAGAUACCAGCUGGCUGCAACUGUUUAUUAAAAACACAGCACUGUGCAAACACGAAAGUGGACGUAUACGGUGUGACGCCUGCCCGGUGCCGGAA